rnacentral:ncRNA from 1 species
CUGGUGACACGAGUUCAAUAUCGAAAUCGGUAGACGCUACGGACUUAAAUUUUGAGCCUUAGGAGAGAAAUUUCCUAAGUGACUGUUUUCACACUCAGGGAAACCUAAUGUUUGAGAUAUGAGAUAAUCCUGAGCCAAAUUUUAGUUAUGAGAUAGGUGCAGAGACUCAAAGGAAACUAUCCUAACGAACAAGCUUUUUCUCUAUUUUUUAGUAUCAGUAUUGAAUACAAAAUAUAUUUGAAAUAAUAAAAAUAUAUGAAUAUUAGUUUUAAAUAACUUCUAAUAGACGAGGAUAAAGAUAGAGUCCUUUUUUACAAUUUAUAUAAUUUUACUUAAAUAUAAUUUUUAUUUAUAGCUAUAGCUAAUUGUAAAAAGAAAAUCCGUUGGCUUUAAUAGACCUUGAGGGUUCAAGUCC